rnacentral:rRNA from 1 species
CAGUAGCCGCGGGAAUACGGAGGGGGCUAGCGUUGUUCGGAAUUACUGGGCGUAAAGCGCACGUAGGCGGCUUGGUAAGUUAGAGGUGAAAGCCAGGAGCUCAACUCCAGAAUUGCUUUUAAGACUGCCGAGCUAGCAGGUGAGAGAGGUAAGUGGAAUUCCGAGUGUAGAGGUGAAAUUCGUAGAUAUUCGGAAGAACACCAGUGGCGAAGGCGGCUUACUGGCUCAUACUGGACGCUGAGGUGCGAAAGCGUGGGGAGCAAACAGGAUUAGAUACCCCGGUAGUCCCUGUCUCUUAUAC